CACACUGCACCACCCUGACAGUGGUUUAUGCUGCAUCUUAGGAAUGUCAUAUUUCCUAUGAUGACCAACUGCACUGCUCCACAGCUGUAUGUGACACAGACCACAUAUUGCAGGAAUGGAGAGUUCCUAAACCUAUAACUUCAAGACAUGAAAGAGAUGGCAAAUCCCUUGGCUCAUUUCUAGUAAAAUUCUCUUUUCCCUG